UCCCCGUUACCGGGGCAGUCUAGCUAGAAAAAUCCAACUAACUAUAAGGGUUGCGCUCGUUGAUGGACUUAACCAAACAUCUCACGACACGAGCUGACGACGGCCAUGCAUCACCUGUCACCUGAUUCCCGAAGGCACAGUCUCCUUUCGGAGACCUCUCAGGGAUGUCAAGCCUUGGUAAGGUUCUUCGCUUACUUUCGAAUUAAACAACACGCUCCACCGCUUGUGCGGGUCCCCGUCAAUUCCUUUAUGUUUUAAGCUUGCGCUCGUACUCCACAGGCGGGAUGCUUAACGCGUUAGCUUCGCUACUACCAGGGUCGAUACUGAUAACAGCUAGCAUCCAUAGUUUACGGCGUGGACUAC
rnacentral:misc_RNA from 1 species